CUUCAACAUUUCAGAGUUUAUUAGUCUUUGAACGUUGUUGGUCUUUUUUAAAAUUGAUGGUUUUUAAUACUACGGUAUAAUAUAAUAAUAAUUGUUCAUUAUUAAUGUAACUAUACAUUAAUGAAACGUAAUAAUCGUACAUUCGAAUAGAAUAUAGGUACAAAAAUUGCAUUACUACCAAAUAGUAUCCCAGUGGCUAAGUAAAUAAGUGUGUACUUAAAACCUAAAUAAAUACCAUUUUUGUUUUUACAGUUAAAUUAGUAAAAUUGUCGGUGUUUUUGAUUAUUUCUGUAUGUAAAAUCUUUAAAUUAAUGAUAAGCUAAUAAAUAAUAAUUACUACUUGUAUAUUAUGUUAGAAAUAAUCUUUUUACAGAUAAUGAACAUUUUGUCGAGUGUCAUACUUGAAUUAUUUGAUGGACACACAUUUUUACAUUUAAAGGAAUCAAUUUUCAACACUGGGCAGUAACAGUGCUGUGAUAUCCAAGAUGUCUAUAAAAUAUGCCUAGAUAAUUAGUGCUUAUUAAUCAGUCUUGAAUGUUUUCAUACAGCCAUUGUUACUGGCGAUACAGUCAUUUGCUAUUGAAUAUAGAAUUAUGUGUGGCCGAAGUUAAAGAGAUGCUAAGUAUUUAGAUAAAAUAAAUAAAUUACAAAAUAUUUUAAAUUAUAAAAAAAAGGGAAUAUAUUUUCAACUCAGUAUCUAAAGCGUUAGGUACAUAUUAAGUGUUUAUAUGUUAUUUGUUUUAUGAUUAUUUUAAUUAUUUUACUUAUUAAAAAAAUUAAUAUUAUGCCAUUAUAAUGUAGGUAGAUCACAUUAUACUCAAAUAUGCCAUUAGAAGAAUUUGUUUGUCGGGUACAACGAAUGACAAAGUAUACAAGUAGACGAAUACCUUUUUGAUGGAACGUAAAAAAAUUAUAAGUAACAUUAGAAUUACUACCGUGUAAAUGUAGAACAUAUUUGGUACACCAAACUUCUUUCUCAGAGUAAGGUUUAUUUUGAAUUAAUUUUAUUAUUUGGAAAUUCAAUAUUUCCAAUUUGUAUUCAUUUACAGAUAUCUAAGACAAGGAAAAUUUCAAUGACUACUUUGAAUGGAUAUAAUUCAAACUCAAACUGCACUUCAAAUCCACUUCAUAGAUGAACUCAAAGGGACUCAUUAGUAUUAGCUCUCUAGUGUUUAAAUUUUAUAUGAUAUUGUCAGAACUUAGUAUUUCAAGAAUAGGAAAUUUAUAUUUUUUGUAUAGAUAUAUCUGAGGAUUUUCUAAAUUGUGUUUCACAACCUAAGAGUCACAAUGUUCAUAAACUAAUAAAGAAAAAUUUAUAUAUAUAUAAAUGUAAGAAAAAUAUCUUGAUUGUAUCUGUAUGCCCAUACAAAAAAAGAGGACUCAGGAAUUUCACUGAUAUUAAAACAAAUUAUUUUAUUACAUUUAAAUCAAUACUUAAUUGCAGUAAAUAGUUAUUUCCAAAAGACAUUUUUGAUUUCACAAUUUUUAAUGGGUUGAAAAUCCUAUCAUUAUUUCCAUUGAACAGUUGAACUUAUAUACUUUUCUUGAAACUCUUACUAUAAAAAUUUUUUGUGAUAAAAUGUAUGCAAAUAAAUUAAAAUUAACUAUGAUACAUUUUUGUAGUGUAGUAUAUAAUGAAUAUUUAAAACUUUCAUUAAAUGAGAUAACAAAACUAUUACUUUUCCCUACCACUUGUAAAAGAUUUUGAACUAUGCACAAUAAACAAAACAAAACAAAGACAUACAUGACAUGCACAUCAGUUAAUUCGAAGUUGUACUCCAGUGGGAAAUAUUAUGCAACAGCAUCCAGAAUCAGCCAUCACAUUAAAUCUAAAAUCAGCUAUAAAAUAAUUUUAUUAUCAUGUAUUAAUUUUUUGUAUUUUAUUUUUAUUUUGAAAUCCGCCUAAAAAGUUUUGUAUAUUUAUUAUAAUUAUCUAUUUGCUAUUCAGUAUUGUAUUAUACUAAAAUUAAAUAAUAAAGUUGCUUUAAAUAAAAAUGUAUAGAUAUCAGUGAAAAGAAAUUUAUUUUUAAAAUGAACUAGUUUGGGUUUCAGGUAUUAAAUAUGAACUACCUAGUUCAAAUUUUAGUUUAUAGUUUUUAAAAAUUAACUAGGUAAAGUUUGUCAAAUUGAAAUAAAAGUAAAUUAUUUACAUAUUACAAUAUUAUUAUUUAUUUUAAAAAUUUUACUGAAUAUAGUGAGUUGACAAAUACAUAAACAUUUAUUAUUAUAAUAUAUUUACAAAAUAAAUUAACAUUUUUGACUUAAGCACAAAUGUAAACAUUCGCUAUCGAAAGUUUCAGAGUUUAAAAAUGUAUUUAAUAAAAUGUUUCACAUGAAAUUACCACUAACUAAUUUAACCAUUGUGCAAUGGCUAAUUAGUACCUAAUACAUAAUAUCUAAUUAACAAUUUAUAUUUUUCUAAUGAAAAUUAUUAACUGAAAGUACUUGAUACAACAUAGUAUAAUAGUAAACAUUUAUACUAAUAAACAGAAAAAAAAAAUUAAAUAUUAUCAAAUUGUCUGCUUCAGUGUGUAAAUAAAAUAUUAGCAAUGGUGGCCAUUAACUUAUUAAAAAGAUAAUUUGUUUAAGUUUUUUAACUUAACUAGUUAGUUAUUUUUGUUUUUAACUUAAUAACUCAUUCAGUUAAAUUUUGUAUUGUUUCAACUUAACUUUUUAGUUAAUUAUCAUUAAUUGUGCAGUCAAGUUAAUAUUAAUUUUCUUUUUUUAUCAUGUGGAAUCAAUAGUCAAAACUAAUUCUUUCGAUUUUCGUAAUUUCUUCUUUUAAUAAUAUAUUAAUCUAUACAAG